rnacentral:rRNA from 1 species
AAUAUUAAAGGCAAUGCCUGCCCAGUGAAUAAUUAAACGGCCGCGGUACCAUAACCGUGCAAAGGUAGCGUAAUCACCUGUCUAUUAAUUGUAGACCUGUAUGAACGGCGAAAUGAGGGCCUAACUGUCUCUUGUAAUAAAUCAAUAAAACUGAUCUCCCAGUUCAAAAGCUGGGAUAUCACCAUAAGACCAGAAGACCCUGUGAAGCUUAAACUAAAUUAUUAAAAUAUAUAAUAAAUACUUUCGGUUGGGGCGACCUUGGAAACAAAAAGAACUUCCAAAUAUUAUGACUUAAACCAUACCAAACCUAUAGGCCAACAAGCCAAAAUUAGAUCCAGUACAACUGAUCAAUGAACCAAGUUACUCCAGGGAUAACAGCGCUAUCUUCUUCAAGAGCCCAUAUCAAAAAGAAGGUUUACGACCUCGAUGUUGGAUCAGGACAUCCAAAUGGUGCAGCCGCUAUUAAAGGUUCGUUUGUUCAACGAUUAACAGUCCU